rnacentral:rRNA from 1 species
UCGAGGGGCAGCGGGGCGGCAGGCUUGCCUGCCGCCGCCGGCGACCGGCGCACGGGUGAGUAACACGUAUGCAACCUGCCCGUGGCAGGGGGAUAAGCGGGGGAAACCCCGUCUAAUACCGCGUAACGCGGCCUAGGGACAUCCCAAGGCCGCCAAAGGGAGCAAUCCCGGCCACGGAUGGGCAUGCGGCGCAUUAGCUAGUCGGCGGGGUAACGGCCCACCGAGGCGACGAUGCGUAGGGGUUCUGAGAGGAAGGCCCCCCACACUGGUACUGAGACACGGACCAGACUCCUACGGGAGGCAGCAGUGAGGAAUAUUGGUCAAUGGGCGCGAGCCUGAACCAGCCAAGUCGCGUGAGGGAGGACGGCCCUACGGGUUGUAAACCUCUUUUGCCGGGGAGCAACGGGCGCCGCGUGUGGCGCCACUGAGAGUACCCGGAGAAAAAGCAUCGGCUAACUCCGUGCCAGCAGCCGCGGUAAUACGGAGGAUGCGAGCGUUAUCCGGAUUUAUUGGGUUUAAAGGGUGCGUAGGCGGAUCGUUAAGUCAGUGGUCAAAUUGAGGGGCUCAACCCCUUCCCGCCAUUGAAACUGGCGAUCUUGAGUGGAAGAGAAGUAUGCGGAAUGCGUGGUGUAGCGGUGAAAUGCAUAGAUAUCACGCAGAACCCCGAUUGCGAAGGCAGCACGCCGGCUUCCUACUGACGCUGAAGCACGAAAGCGUGGGGAUCGAACAGGAUUAGAUACCCUGGU